UUUUGCUCUAGGUGUUGAUAGGUUGGAUAAAGAUCUGAUGAUUGGCCAGAUGCAGGGGAAAUUCCAGAUGCAGGUUUUACCUCAGUGUGGCCAUGCAGUGCAUGAGGACGCCCCUGACAAGGUAGCUGAAGCUGUUGCCACUUUCCUGAUCCGGCACAGGUUUGCUGAGCCCAUUGGUGGAUUCCAGUGUGUGUUUCCUGGCUGUUAGUGACCUGCCGUCUUCCCCUCCCUAUACAUUGAGCUCUGUUGUAAAUACGUCGCACCAGAGGCCACUGUGAUGCUGCUGUCU